rfam:Drosophila busckii chromosome 3R sequence.
UGAGCGCAAGUCAACAGCAAGGACUUUUCUUAUUGAAGUCUUCGCUUUGAUUAGGCGCUAGAUUAAAUUUAAAUCGAAUUGUUAGAUCAUUUGAUUGAGCCAACAGGGCCGUAAAGAUUCAAGUUUAUCUUUGUACGGUAGUAAGCAGCUCGCACAAA